rnacentral:rRNA from 1 species
UCUACGGGUGGCAGCAGUGAGGAAUAUUGGUCAAUGGGCGCGAGCCUGAACCAGCCAAGUAGCGUGAAGGAUGACUGCCCUACGGGUUGUAAACUUCUUUUAUAAAGGAGUAAAGUGAGGCACGUGUGCCUUUUUGUAUGUACUUUAUGAAUAAGGAUCGGCUAACUCCGUGCCAGCAGCCGCGGUAAUACGGAGGAUCCGAGCGUUAUCCGGAUUUAUUGGGGUUAAAGGGAGCGUAGAGGGGUUGUUAAGUUAGUUGUGAAAGGUUGCGGCUCAACCGGAAAAUUGCAAUUGAUACUGGAAGUCUUGAGUACAGUUGAGGUAGGCGGAAUGUGUGGUGUAGCGGUGAAAUGCUUAGAUAUCACGAAGAACUCCGAUUGCGAAGGCAGCUUACUAAACUGCCACUGACAUUGAUGCUCGAAAGUGUGGGUAUCAAACAGGAUUAGAUACCCUAGUAGUC